UUACAUGAAGAAAUAGUCACAUCUUACUUCCUGUCCUAGCCUCAGAGCCUGAAAAGGGGAACCCACUGGGGCUUGCUGGGAGAAAAGAGGAAAAUUUGUUCCAGAAGGAACUAUCUGAGGGAU
rnacentral:snoRNA from 1 species